CCGGGCCCCGCAGUGGCAGCUGUGAUGACUUCAUGACUCUCGCACGGCCCCGGGCCGGGGAACAGGGCCGGGAUUGUAUUCGCAGGCUGCGAGCAGCAUGUGUGAAGGAACAGAGUCAGACUGGACCUCCAGCCCUGCUUGUCUGUUCCACCCAGAGGGAGAUUCCUGGGGAGUGAUGUGGCCACAAGCACCCCCAGGACCCUGCUUCACCAACGUCCGGGUGAUGGGAGAACUGAAAUUGAGACCCCACGCAGUGUGAUUGCCAAGUUCCCUGACAUUUCAGGGUGGUGACAGUGGCCCAUCCUGGCCCUGAAUGGAUGGGAGGAGCUUGGGCUGGGGGCGUCAGGUAUGACUAUGUUCGUUGCAGCAGUAUUUGUGAUGGUGAAUAACCCAAGUGUCUGUCAAAGAGAACGGAUAAAUAAAAUGUGGUGUAUUUAAA